rnacentral:rRNA from 1 species
ACGGGAGGCAGCAGUGGGGAAUUUUGGACAAUGGGGGCAACCCUGAUCCAGCCAUGCCGCGUGAGUGAAGAAGGCCUUCGGGUUGUAAAGCUCUUUCGGCCGGGAAGAAAUCGCAUGGGCCAAUACCCUGUGUGGAUGACGGUACCGGACUAAGAAGCACCGGCUAACUACGUGCCAGCAGCCGCGGUAAUACGUAGGGUGCGAGCGUUAAUCGGAAUUACUGGGCGUAAAGCGUGCGCAGGCGGUUUUGUAAGACAGCUGUGAAAUCCCCGGGCUCAACCUGGGAACUGCGGUUGUGACUGCAAGGCUAGAGUACGGCAGAGGGGGGUGGAAUUCCUGGUGUAGCAGUGAAAUGCGUAGAUAUCAGGAGGAACAUCGAUGGCGAAGGCAGCCCCCUGGGCCGCUACUGACGCUCAUGCACGAAAGCGUGGGGAGCAAACAGGAUUAGAUACCCUGGUA